UCCACCUUUUUUAAAAUUUUUAAAUUAUUUUUAUAUUCCAUAAUCCAUUCCCCGCCCCCCUACCUGACUGCUCCACAUCCCAUACCUCCUCCCCACCCCCUGUCUCCAUGUGGAUGCCCCCACCCCCAACCCACCUGACCUCUAAACUUCCUGGGCCCACACACUCCUGCCUCCCCACCCUGGCAUUCCCCUACAAUGGAGCAUCUAGCCUUCACAGGACAAAGGGCCUCUCUACCCAUUGAUGUCUGACAAGGCCACUGCUCUCUGGGAGGCCAUAUCCAAGUGCAGAGCUAGAACAGUCACAGGGACCUCCGAGGACUGAUGAAACAAAGGGCAGUCCUCAGCACAGCAGGGUGAAGAUAUCGCCAGGACCAAGGAAGCCCUCAGGAACGUGUGUCCUGUGACUAUGAAAUUGAUCCUGGCAGCUGGGUAGGAACUAAUGAACUUAAAAUUCUGGCUAGCUGGGCCCUCACCAAGUAUCCAGAGCUGCUGUUCACCCCAUCCCACGCAUGGGUCAUGAAAGCCCAGCCUUUCUUGUGACAGAGGCUGACAUCAGGCCCUGAGGCAAUGAGCAUCUCAGGAGGAUACAUAGGGGAGGUGGUGCUGGUGGUGUCCUAGGUCUGCUGUGCCUGUAGGAGGAA
rnacentral:lncRNA from 1 species